rnacentral:tRNA from 2 species
UAAGUAGAAGCCAAAUUUUGAGGCGCUUGUUUGUUAAUCAAGGUUGAUUGUGGUCUUUCCACCUACUUA